AGUGGGAUAACUGGGUCAAAUGGUGAUUCCAUUCCAAGUUUUCUAAGGAAUCUCCAUACUGCUUUCCAAAUUAGUUGCAAUACUUUGCAAUCCCACCAGCAAU
rnacentral:pre_miRNA from 1 species